CGGCCGGGAGCCGGGAUCGGGCCGGGCGGCGGAGGCGCGGGUCCGUGGAGCUGCGCGGUGAGAGCGGGAGGGACGGAAAGAGGAAGGAGGGAAGGAAAGAAAGAAAGAAAGAAAGAAAGAAAGAAAGAAGGAAGGACGGACGGAAGGAAGGAAGGAAGGAAGGAAGGAAGGAAGGAAGGAUGUCCCGGGUGCCGGUGGGGAAGGUGCUGCUGCGGAACGUCAUCCGGCACACGGGCGCGCACAACAAGAUCCAGGAAGAGUCGGAGAUGUGGAAGAUCCGCGAGUGGGAGAGGCAGGCGGAGGAGACGUUCUGGCGGCGGCGGAGCAAAGUGCUGUCGGACACCUCCAGCAGUCGGAUGCGCAGUGAUGGCUUUGAUGAGGAGGGCCACAGGGCUGACUGGAAAACAAAGAACUCCCGUUUUCUCAACCCAGUCGAAGAUGAUCUUUUGAGAGCACGGUCAUGGAAUAAAAAACUCUACGAAUGUGAAGCCAAUAUGCCAGACAGAUGGGGCCACAGUGGCUAUAAGGAGCUGUACCCUGAAGAGUUCGAUACAGAUAGUGACCAGCAAGAAGGAGACAAACAAAAUGCUGUCAAUGGAAAGAAGAAAUCUCAUCUGAGAAAACAAACUGCCCACGAGUUGCACAAAAGGAAAAAAACAAAGAAAUCGCACAAGAAAAAGCAAAAAAAGAGAUCACACAAAAAGAGGAAGAAAAAGGACCAGGGAAGGUCAUCGUCAGAUUCCUCCAGGGAGAGCGAAUGCUCUGAAGAGGAGACUUCAAGCACUCAGAAGGGGAAACACAGGCGCAAAAAGAAGACCAGGAAAGUGCCUGCUAGGGAACCUACCUCUUCCUCUGGGCAGGAAAGUGACUUUUCCCAUGCAAGCCGCUCAACCAUCAGCAGCUCUGAGGACAAUGAAUCUGAGGAGAAAAAAGAGAAACGCUUCACUAAAAAGAGAAAGAAGCGUCAUAACUCUGUGUCGGAGCGGCACAGCGAAGUAGCAGAGAAGAGGAGCAAGAGAAAGAACUGGAAAGUGGCCGCUGACGAGAAGUCGGAGGAGAGCUCAGAGGAGGACUGAUGGGGAGAUGCUGAGCUUGGGCUGCGGCACAGACAACGCGAUAGAGGACAGAGGCAGCAGAAGACCUAUAUGGCAUCGUGCACAGGUCAGUGGGGCACAGAAGGGAGCGUGAGAGAAUGCUCUCCUUCAGCAGAAGGUGCACUGACCCCUUCCACAAUUACGAAGAGAAGACACCAGAGUGAUUGUUUCAGACUUCUCUCCAGCUCCUGGCAGCGCUGGGUUGUGCCCGGUCCUCCUGGGGGUGCUGAACCUGUGCUGGCAGAGAAGCCUCAGUGGGUGCUGUGUUCUGGCUCUGGUCUGCCCGAUGCAUUAAUGAGAGAUUGGUACAGAGUGGCUUUCCCUGCAGGUGACAGCCAAGCCUUGUUUUCACCAGAUAAAUAAAUGAAGACGCGUUUGA